ensembl:lincRNA
GCAAACAGAUAUCCAAGGUGAUCAAUUUAGCACACUUCCACUGAAGAGAUGUGAAGUGUACGUUCAACUGAAUUGUCCUCGUAAUUGUGUGCCUUCUCAGUAAUUGGGCAAGUUAAAGAGCAUGAUGAGUGUUUGUAGUAUAAUGGUGUAAAUCCUUUUGAUUUGUUGCAUGAAAGACAUGUGGGAUCAUGUGGCACCUGCUUUGAGAUUGAUUCUCAGGUGUAUGAGUUGCUUCUCUGAUUUUAGAUCACUUUGUCCUCAUCACUCGGCAUAUCCACGUUGAUACUGACACGGUUUUAUUUUAGUUUUGGACAUAUGACAAAUCAUACCAUGUUUGAAAUUCUAAGACUAUAUUUCAUGGAGCCUGUGUUCCCUUUUCUCAGCGUAUUUCUGUCAUGUUCUAGUCCCCAGACACAAAGUAGAAACCAUCAAAGCCUACGCUAAUACAGGCAGGAGGACAGAGGUUGAUGCUAACACUGCAUGAAUGUGUGGAUAAUAUUGUCAUUUUUACAUAUGAGUGAUUAUGAAUCCCUUUUACUUUUCAGUGUCUUCUGAGAAACCAUCAGGCUUGAAGGUAAUGAAACUGUCAUUUAUAUUGUGACCUAGUAAAUGUAUAGUCUAUGAAACAUACUUUAUUAAUUUAUUACUUUAUUUCAAAUUCCAUUCAGGCUACAAGUAACGAGAAAGAUUCUCUUUUGAAUAUAGCCAGAGGAAAAAAGCAUGGAGAAAAAACUAGGAGAGGUAUCAGCAAACAGAUAUCCAAGGUGAUCAAUUCAGGACACUUCCACUGAAGAGAUGUGAAGUUGUCUUCUCGGAAAAAACCAGCCUUGAAGGCUACAAGUGAUGGGAAAGAUUCUUUUUCAAAUAUAACCAGAGAAAGAAAGGAUGGAGAAAUAUCUAGGACAGUGUCUUCUGAGCAACCACCAGGCUUGAAGGCUACAAGUGACGAGAAAAAUUCUAUUUUGAAUAUAACCAGAGGAAAAAAGCAUGGAGAAAAAACUAGGAGAGUGUCUUCUCAUAAACAACCAGCCUUGAAGGCUACAAGUGACAAGGAAGAUUCUAUUCCAAAUAUAGCCACAAAAACAAAGGACGAACAAAUAUCUGGGACAGUGUCUUCUCAGAAACAACCAGCCUUGAAGGCUACAAGUGACAAGAAAGAUUCUGUUUCGAAUAUACCCACAGAAAUAAAGGAUGGACAACACUCUGGAACAGUGUCUUCUCAGAAACAACCAGCCUGGAAGGCUACAAGUGUCAAGAAAGAUUCUGUUCGGAAUAUAGCCACAGAAAUAAAGGAUGGACAAAUACCUGGGACAGUGUCUUCUCAGAGACGACCAGCCUUGAAGGCUACAGGUGAUGAGAAAGAUUCUGUUUCGAAUAUAGCCAGAAAAAUAAAGGAUGGAGAAAAAUCUGGGACAGUGUCUCCUCAGAAACAAUCGGCCCAGAAGGUUAUAUUUAAAAAGAAAGUUUCUCUUUCGAAUAUUGCCACAAGAAUAACAGGCGGUUGGAAAUCUGGAACAGAGUAUCCUGAGAAUCUGCCCACCUUGAAGGCUACAAUUGAAAAUAAAGAUUCUGUUCUGAAUACAGCCACCAAAAUGAAGGAUGUACAAACAUCCACACCAGCAGAACAAGACUUAGAAAUGGCAUCAGAGGGAGAGCAAAAGAGGCUUGAAGAAUAUGAAAAUAACCAGCCACAGGUGAAAAACCAAAUACAUUCUAGGGAUGACCUUGAUGACAUAAUUCAGUCAUCUCAAACAGUCUCAGAGGACAGUGACUCGCUUUGCUGUAAUUGUAAGAAUGUCAUAUUACUCAUUGAUCAACAUGAAAUGAAGUGCAAAGGUAGGACCAAUGCAUAAAUAUAAGGCUUUUAAAAAAUCCUAUAGCAAUGUAUGCACACAUUGCUUAGCACUGUACCAUAGAGUACUGAUAUGUUACAAGAAUGUUCAUCUCAGAAAUAUGCCUUAUGUUAAAAUAGAAUGAAAGCAACUGUAUCUUGUACCUUCUCAGCCAAAGAGCUAUGAUCAUUUCACUGUACUUUUCUCAGUGUGAAUGGCACGCCCAAUGUGUUUGUUUACUCUGCUUCUCGUCUAUGCCAUUACCCAUUUACCCGUGGUCAUGUUACCAUUUCUUCCCACCUGAAAUACUGUGAUAACCCUCUAACUGUCUUUCCUACUAUUCCACCUUCCAAAACCAUGGCCUGUUCUGCAAUCAUAAUUAUAUAGUUGUAAAAAAUCACACCUGAUCAUGUUACCUGCUUGCUGAAAACCCAGCUGCCAUUUAUUGCUAUAAGGUAUGGAUCUCAGUCCUCGAGCUUUAUACUGCAUCAUUGCAUACCCUUCUCUGUGCCACAGCCAGUGCCUUAGGUGUUUGCUCCUACAAUCAGUAGCUUUAGUGUGGUAUAAUUGAUAUGUGAUACAGUGCACACAUGUAAAAGGUACCAUUUGAUAAGUUUUAACAGAUGUAUACACAUGUGAAACUAUUACCAUCAUCGAGAUAGUCAACAUAUAUCCAUCACCCGCUAAUUUCUCCUCAUGGCCCUUCAUAUUCCUGUUUUUAAAAGCUGCUAAAUGGUUUUCCAAAAUAUUUGUACUAUUUUCUAUUCUCAUCAGCAGUAAAUGACCAUUCCAGUUGCUAUGUUGUCACACUACUGCUGUAUUUACUUUUUUAAAUUUUAGUUAUUCUGAUGGGUAUAUUAUGUAUAUUUUUAUGGGUUUAAUGUACACAAUCCUAAUGACUAAAAUGUUGAGCAUCUUUCCUUUAUUUGCCAUCUGUACAUCUUUGUUGAACUGUCUUUUCACAUCUUUUGCAUAUAAAAAAGUAGGUUGAUGUUUUCUUACUUGUUGAGUUUUAAUAAUUCUGUAUGUAUUUGGAUACUAUUACUUUUUAGCUACUUUUUUACAAGGGUAUUUUUGCCAGUUUUUGGGUUGACUUUUCACUUGCUUUGUAGUAUCUUUUGAAGAGCAGAAGAUUUUAAUCGUAAUGAAAUCCAAUUUAAUUGUUGAAUUACAGAUUUUGCAUUUUGUGUCAUAUGUAAAAAAUGUUGGCCUAGCACAAGGUCACAAAGAUUUUUCCUGUGUUUGUUCUAGAAAUUUUAUAGAUUUGUAUCUUCCAUUUAAAUCUGUGCUCCAUUUUGAGUUUCCUUUUGUCUAUGGAGUGAGGUGAGGUAUGGAUUCAAGUUCACUUUUUGGAUAUGGACAGCCAAUUGUUCCAACACCACAUGUUGAAAAGGCUAUCCUUUCUCCACUGCAUUGCCAUCCUGCCUUUGUCAGUCAUAAGCUGGUUGCAUAUGUGUUAUCUAUUUCUGGACUGUCUGUUGAAUUUUAUUAAUUUGCAGAAUGCUCCCGAAAUCUGUGGGAAACCCAGUGUUAUGACAAAAGCAAUUUAAUACUUCAGUAAACCCACUGUAAAGUCAAUAAGUCAAACCACCUUAAGUUGGGGAUUGUCUGAAUUUGACUUCUUUAUACAGGUGAGACAUUGCUA